AGAGUUUGAUCAUGGCUCAGAACGAACGCUGGCGGCAUGCCUAACACAUGCAAGUCGAACGAGCACUUCGGUGCGAGUGGCGAACGGGUGAGUAACGCGUGGGAAUCUGCCUCAAAGUGGGGAAUAACCAACGGAAACGGUGGCUAAUACCCCAUACCCCCUGCGGGGGAAAGUUUUUCGCUUUGAGAUGAGCCCGCGUCGGAUUAGGUUGUUGGUGAGGUAAAAGCUCACCAAGCCUGUGAUCCGUAGCUGGUCUGAGAGGAUGAACAGCCACACUGGGACUGAGACACGGCCCAGACUCCUACGGGAGGCAGCAGUGGGGAAUAUUGGACAAUGGGGGAAACCCUGAUCCAGCAAUGCCGCGUGAGUGAUGAAGGCCUUAGGGUUGUAAAACU
rnacentral:rRNA from 1 species